UGCCACCGACAAGUGGGUUCGUCCACCGCACCUUCUCCCUUCUUCGUCUCCGUCUCUCCCAGCCCCAUAUCAACGGGGGACGGCUCUCUCGCCAUUCUCCAUCCGAAAAACCCAUAGAAACUUCCCUCGUUUCUCUCUCCUCGGCCCCGCGGGAGCGAACCAUUAUCAGUCGCUCUCGUUGGUCCGGAGCAGCGAUGCGCACCGCCUGCCUCCGCCCCACCAUUCGAAUAAAACCCUCCCCUCCGCCUCCCUCCUUCCGCCACUCCUAGGCCCAUUCCCACCCGCGCCAGCCUCGGCCGCCGCGGCCGCACCACCCACGGUCCCGCCUCGCCGUGGCAUGAGAAGAUGGCCGCGUGCUCCAGGGGCCUCGCGUGGCCGCCGUUCGAUCUGACCACGGCGAGGGGGGCGGCGUCCUGGCCGCGCCGCCGCGCCACGAUCCGGUGCUGCUGCGCCGGGACGGACCCAGAGCCGCGGAGGCGACUCUCGAGGGCGGCCGCGGCCGCGCCCGAGCGUGCCGAGGAGUGGCGCGUCGAUGGGAACAAGCCGUCUGCCGCGGCACCGGCCCGGCGGCGCGCUAGUCUCACCGCCAUGCCCCCGCUCCCCUUCCCGGCACCUCGUUCUAGAAGACAGUUCAAGCAACAGGACUUCUACCCACGGUGCACGCCGAGGGGCCCGGCUCCUCAAUCCUGUGAUUCCCCACCCAAGAGAGACACUGGUAUUGCUAGUGAGAAGGAAUGGGGAAUCAACUUGCUGGACGAAGCCGUCAAGGAGUCUGGAAUAAAUGAAGAUGGAAGCACUUGGUAUAGGGAGAGUGGAGAAGAUACUGGCGAGAAUGGGUACCGCUGCCGCUGGGCAAGAAUGGGAGGACAGAACCAUGAUGGUUCCACCGAAUGGAAAGAGACUUGGUGGGAGAAAAGUGACUGGACUGGAUAUAAGGAAUUAGGUGCAGAGAAAUCUGGGAAGAAUGCUGAAGGUGAUUCUUGGUGGGAGAAGUGGAAAGAAGUACUGUACCAAGAUGAAUGGAGAGUUGUAUACAGACUUUCUUCUAGCCUUGCUUUUUUUAAGGCUACUUUGAAACAAUGGUGAUUCCGUAGCUCUGCUGAGAAUGACUCCAACACAAUCUGCAAACAAAUGAUCAGCUAUAUCAUUGUUCUUGAUACCUAUUUGGAGAUCCAGUCCAUCCAUUGGUGUAUCUGUCACAAUCUUGCAAGAAUAGAGAAGAGUGCUGAAAAACAAGCAAAAUCAGGUGCAGAAAAUGCUGGGUGGUAUGAGAAAUGGUGGGAGAAAUAUGAUGCCAAAGGCUGGACAGAAAAAGGUGCUCACAAAUAUGGAAGGUUGAAUGAGCAGUCGUGGUGGGAGAGAUGGGGUGAACAUUAUGAUGGCCGUGGAUUUGUUUUGAAAUGGACAGAUAAGUGGGCAGAGACAGACUUAGGCACCAAAUGGGGGGACAAGUGGGAGGAGAAAUUCUUUGCAGGAAUUGGUUCUCGACAAGGGGAGACAUGGCAUGUAUCUCCUGGCAGAGAACGUUGGUCAAGAACUUGGGGAGAAGAACACUUUGGUAACGGUAAAGUCCACAAGUAUGGAAAGAGCACAACUGGCGAGAGCUGGGAUUUGGUAGUCGACGAGGAGACAUACUAUGAGGCGGAGCCCCACUACGGAUGGGCCGAUGUCGUGGGGGACUCGACACAGCUGCUGUCCAUACAACCCGUGGAGAGGCCACCGGGAGUGUUCCCGGCCAUCGACUUCAGCUCGGCGCCCCCGCCAAAGGACGCUCCGCCGGGCAUGCCUCCUUCCCCUCUGGAUGGAGGGAACUAGAGCUGCCAGCACAAGCGAAUUUUUUCUUUCUAGAGGCUCCAAAUUUUGCCUGUAAGGGAACAGCAUUCUUUGUAGGAAGUUAAUGGACCCAAUUUCCUGCGUUCA